rnacentral:rRNA from 1 species
AUUGAACGCUGGCGGCAGGCCUAACACAUGCAAGUCGAGCGAGCGGCGGACGGGUGAGUAAUGUCUGGGAAACUGCCUGUUGGAGGGGGAUAACUACUGGAAACGGUAGCUAAUACCGCAUACUAAUAGAUGAGCCUAAGUCGGAUUAGCUAGUUGGUGGGGUCAAGGCCUACCAAGGAGACGAUCUGUAGCGGGUCUGAGAGGAUGAUCCGACAAACUUGGACUUGACAACGGCCCAGACGUCUACGGGAGGCAGCAGGGGGGAAUAUUGGACAAUGGGGGGAAACCUGAUCCAGCCAUGCCGGGGGUGAGAAGAAGGCCUUAUGGUUGGAAAGCACUUUAAGCGAGGAGGAGUUACUCGCAGAAUAAGCACCGGCUAACUCUGUGCCAGCAGCCGCGGUAAUAC